rnacentral:rRNA from 1 species
CUUGUACACACCGCCCGUCACACCAUGGGAGCGGGUUCUGCCAGAAGUAGUUAGCCUAACCGCAAGGAGGGCGAUUACCACGGCAGGGUUCGUGACUGGGGUUG